rnacentral:lncRNA from 1 species
CUCAGGACCAGGUUGAAGAAGGCAGCCAGGGGCUUUGUAGUUCUGAAGGUAGGUUGUAACUGCCUCCUCCAGUGCUCAGCAUUACCUCUGCCCUCCUCUUGGACCUGCUAUUUGAGACCACAUCUUCUCUGGCUCAGUUUAUCCAGGGGAUGAGCCUCUAGACUCUUGCUGUGGGGGAGGAGGGCCUCAGAGGUAGGAGGGCUAUUUGAGACUCCCACCAUACUCUCCCUUGUCACCUUACACUUCAUCCAUACCUUUCAGAUUGCACAGUGCCUCCCAGUGAUGCUGGCCCGUCGGGUGCUGCCAGGCCCCCAGCGUCUCCCCGCACACGUCCAGGUCUGCCUUUCCACAGAAAGUUGGGAAAUAGAAAUUCUGACUUUUUCAGCUGCAUUACAAAGCAUAAACAUGAAGGUAUGAGGACAACCUUCGCAGAGUGCCAGGGUGGCUUGUGCUUACAGCCAUGGAUUCAUUCCUCAAGGAUUCACAUGGAUCUGAACACCCUGCAUCAUCUGCUAGAGAUUUAUUACAACAUGGCUCGGGAAAACAGGUUACAGGACCCUUUUAAAAGGGAGUACUGCCUCUUGAUGGAACCCCAGCUGUAACACUAAGUGGGUAGCAAUUCCCUCUAGACAUAUUAAAGUUCCAGAGCUUCUGCUGUUAAUAUGACACCAGAUCCUUCUGUAUUUUUCUAAAUGUCAAUAAAUGAAACAACCCCCCCCCCA